AUUUGGUGCAUAAUGGGCACAGCUGCUCAAGCCCAUAGCACAAGGUGGGGGACUGUCUGGAGGAAGUGGCACUACCUGAGGGGUUCCUUGCCUCACACACUGUUCUCAGCCCUCUACAUACCUUUCCCCCUCAAAGGCCACCUGUAGACAGGCAAUACUCAUCUUCCUUUUGCAGAUGAAGAGGUGGACUUAGAGUGAAGCAAUGACAUUCCCAGGGAACACAGAUGACUCCACUCCAGGACGACUGGAGAGUUCAUGCUCUUGACACCUUCCCUCUACUGCUUCUCUGCAGAGGGCGGCCCCAAGGGUGGGCAGCACGGAACUGAGGAACCCAGCAGGCAAGCACGGGGAACUAUUAACUGCCAACUAUUAAGCCCUAAACAUGGAGACACUCUGACCCUUAGUUCUGGUCACUGA
rnacentral:lncRNA from 1 species